GCCAGUGUAGCUCAAUUGGUAGAGCUCCUGAUUUGUAAUCAGGAGGUUGCGGGUUCAACUCCUGUCGCUGGCUCCA
rnacentral:tRNA from 1 species